UAUUUUGGGAGUUAUUUGAGAUGACCUUGGAAAGGAAUGCAGAGAUGUUGUCAUUGAAAGUGGCAAGGUGUCAGAUGAAGAGAAAGAAAAAGAAGAAAAUUUGAGUGAGAGGGAGAAAAAGGUAGAAAAAGAAGAGGAUGAGAUUAAAGAAAAAGAAUAAGGAAAAGAAAAAGAUGAAGAAGAGAGAGAAAAGCAAGAAAGUAAGGAAAAAGAAAAAGAAAAAUAGAGGGAAGAAAAGAAAGAGGAUGAGAGAAAAAUAGAGAGAGAAGAAAACGAAUGUUUGAGUGAAAAAGAGAAGCAUGUAGAGGAAGAAAAGGAAGGGGUUGAGAGAGAAGAGAAAAAAAUUGAUAAAAUUCCUUUGUGCCCUUAGGAGUGUCCCAAGGAGAAAAAGAGAUAGGGGAAGAAUGAAAGCAAAAAGAAAAAAUCAUAUGAAAAACCUCCCUCACCCAAAGAAGGAUCAUAGGAAGAAAAAUAUCUUGAAUCUAGGUUCUGAAUUUUUUAUCUUUUAUUUUGUUUUAUUUUAUUUUAUUUUUUCUUUUAUUUUAUUUGAUUUUAUUUUUUUGUGAUUUUAUUUUAUUUUAUUUUUUUAUUUGAUUUUAUUUUAUUUGAUUUUAUUUUAUUUCAUUUUAUUUUAUUUGAUUUGCUUUCAUUUGAUUUGGUUUUAUUUUAUUUGAUUUUAUUUUAUUUCAUCUCAAUUUAUUUUAUUUUAUUUGAUCUUAUUUGAUUUGAUUUGAUUUCAUUUUAUUUUAUUUUAUUUGGUUUUGUUAUAUUUUAUUUUAUUUUAUUUUUUAUUUUUAUUUUUUCUUUAUUUGUGUGUUUUGAAUUUGAUUUUGUUUUUGUGGUUUGAGUUUUUUUUAGGUUAUGUGCUGCUUCUGAUGGCAGUACUGACAGCGUCUACUGAUGGAUGCUGAUGAAGAAGAAAAAGAUUAGCAUCCAUUGAAGGAUGUUAAUGAGAAAUAUAUGCAUCUACUAAUGGAUGCUGGAAGAAUUUGAGAGAGCGUUGAUGGGUGUCGCACCCCAUGCAAAAUUUAAUGUGCAUAAAAGAAUGCAGUAUAGACUAGGAAGUGACUCCUAGGUCGUCUCUCAAGGACCAAUUUUGCGGUUCAAGAAUUAAGUCAAACACGAAGUGGGGGGUUGUGAAAGGUUUGUGACUGCAGAUGAAUUAAAUCAAAACGCGGAUGCAAACACAAAAGAAAACACAGAUGUAAAAACGAAAUCAAAUACAAAAUAAAAACGGUUGGUCAUUAACUCAAUUACUAUGCUUCCAAUCACAGAUAAACGACAAGUACACAUUACUCUAAUCCAAAUCCGACACGAAUCACCCAACUAAGCGAAGGCUAAUUCGGUCUUCAAAUUGCAAACUAAUUUAAACACAAGCAACCGAAAUAAAGUUCCAUUCAAACCUUCGUAAACAACGUAAUUGCAAAGAAAAAUCAUCAUUAACGUGAGUAGAAUUGUAACCAUGAACUAGUAAUAAUAAAGAGAAUAAUAUUCACCAAGGAUUCAACACUUAAUAUAAAAACACUAACAGUGAAAUAAAUGAGCAAUUGCUUCUGUGUGUGUCACAACUCCAAAAAAUGAAUUGCACCAGCGUUAUUUUCUUCCAACUAAAUGCACCACAUCAUGAAGUCGUGACACCUCAAGCUGUUACAGACGUGUGCUUUACAUUUUUCCAAACCGUGACAGGGUGUUUUUCCCAAGAGAAAGUGAAAUGAUCCUCCUAAUUCCAAAAACCAAACAAAACACUACAUUCUAAUGUAAAAGUGUGCUUAAAAUAAAAAGGUUGGCUGUUGCAGCCCUUCAUCCGUAGCCCUCCCCAUGUGUGUGUAGUCAGCAGCGUGCUUCCCAAGAGAAAAGUGUCAAGAUAUCUCUUUCUAAGGUGGCGGCUCUUUUUUUAAAUGAAGGAUGAUUCUCCUCUUCUACGUGUUGCCCUACCUCACGUGCUGGACCUACUUUUCUAUUGCUGGAUGUUGCUCCUUCUUUUGGACAAAGUUGGACCGUGUGGCAUGCUUCCUCAAGCAAACACCAAUUGAUCAAUCUGGGUCGUGUGGCAGCAGCAUCUCCACGCUGCACCUCCCAGCUGGAUCGUGAAGUUGCUUCUACCAAUUGCUAGACCCACCUUCCAGCACACACCGUGGCAGUCCGUGGAAGCAAUUCAAUUUGCUGGACUUUGAAGCCUUGGGCCGUGACCGUGGCUGCAACACCUGCAUUCCGUGUGCAGCCCCUUUUCUUAUCCAGCAUUUGCCCUCUUGUCUAUUGUGGAAUGUGGCCAACAGCAAGUUUGCUUCUUCUUUUUUUUAUUCUCCAAGCAUGAGUCGUGCACCUCCAUUUAUUAAAUCAGCACCGUUUUCAGUUUCUUUAAAAGCCCAUCAAUAAUCACCAUUUGCAUUGCUGGACCGUGAGCCUUUUUUUUUGCUUCACAUGCUGGACAUUUUUUUUACCAUGGGUCGUGUGCUUUCUUUAAAAUGAAAUCAGCUCCCCAAAUGAAUUCAGCGCAUGUACUGCCCUCAAAUUCAAUAAUAAAAAAAAUGGAUUCGUAACAGCCGUCGAUUAAAGGUCUCUCUUAUACUAUCAUGAGUCACUGUGCAUCUCCCAUCAAGAAAAGUUGUUUGCUUCCACAUUGAACCAACGCUUCAAAAUUGGUGCCACUUCCUAAAUCUUCAUCACCGCUUGUCAACACUUGGCAACUCUCCAGAUGUUCAAAUUUGUAUUUCCAAAAUUUUUCUUGCAAUCAAUAAUGAAAAUAAUAAGCUCAAAUAAUUCAAAUUAAUUAAAAUAAGAAUUUCUGAUCAAAUUGAGCACAAUUAGGAAAAACGGGAAAAUACCGGAUAUUUAAGCACAAUUCCCUGAUAAAUUCUAGCACAAUAAACUAAGAGAAGUUAAGAAAAUAUUGACUCAUCAAAAUAGAACACACUUAGUCUUUUGCACUCUUGGGAAAAAUCAAGACGCAGAACAGGGAACAGUUCAGAGGACAUCAGGAAGUGACAUGGACGGCACACAGAAAACAAAAACUCACAAGGACGGAAACAGAAUUCCACAGUUCUCAAGAAAUCUAGACAGAGAAAGGAAGUAGAUAGUAUCCAACACAGGUUUAGCGAAAAUAGAUACUCAUGAAGUCAUCAAAGCAAUUCCAAGCAUGGCAAAAUGAACAAUCAGCUCAAGAGGUGAAUCAAAGGCAACAGAACCUCACACAUGCACUAUCAGUGUUUCUCUCAAGUGUCUAAGGUAAACAAAUUCAACUUAAUGCACUCAAGAAAGCAAGCAACAAACAGUCUUGGCAAGCCUUUAAUAUCAACACUCAGAAACAUAUGCAUGUUCAAAUCAAAAGGUCUUUUAUGGAUGUAAUGGGGCCAAGGACAAGGAAGGAUAAUUAUGGAUGAGAAGUUACAAACCAAAAAGAAUAGAGGACUAAUGGGGAACAAGUGAAAACACAGUCAAAUAACACCCAAACCCUCUAAUUCAAUCCUCUUCUUGACUCCACAAUUCACACAACAAUUUUUUAAUUUUUUCUCAUUUUUCUGUAUUUCUUUUUUUUUCAUCUUGUCUCUUUUCUUUUCUCUCUAUUUAGUACACAAAUCUAAGAGACAAGAUACACAACAUGUUUACAAAACCAAACAAGAAGAGGAGCCAACUAACCAAUUCAUCAGAAUAUCCCAAGAGACCACACUUGUUCCCAAAACAAUUCCAAAGCUCCAAAAUUCCUUAAGGUUAAGGUAAUCAUGGUUUUUCACUUAGAGCUAGUGUAUGAGCUUCAAAACAAAGAAAUGAGGAAAGCAUAGGCUCAAAAGGGCUAUCAAAGAAUCAAAACAGGGUAGGCUCAUCUGGCUAGAGAGGCUCAACAACAAAACUGCAUUUAUCAUUUCCAAACAUGCAUAUCAAUCAAGAAUCAUCAANANGAGUCAAGNCAAGGCAUAUGUGCAAGCAAUCAAGAGACAUAUCACACACAAGAAAGAAUAUCAAGUGGCUCAAAUCUCACACAGGGUAUUUCUAUCACAAUCAAUCACCCUCUCAAACAUCGUGAUCAUCCUCUAAUCAAAGAAAAGCAAGGAUUUCCAACAAAUCAGAGUAUCAAUGAAGUGAAAGACACAUCUACAACCUAAACAAAGUCCACAAAUCAAGAGAAACAGGUAAAAAUGUACACAAGAUAAAACAAAAACUACCUAGAAAACAAAAAAUUUAACACCUAGAAAAGAAAAAAAAAUUAACAAAGAAAAGUUCAGAAUCUCCCCCAAUAGACCACACUUAAACUACACAGUGUCCUCAAUGUGUCACAAGCAUAAGAUCACAAUCAUAACAAUCAACAGAUCAUGGACAAGUGCAAUAAAAGCAAGAAAGGGGGGAGAAGGGAAAAGAAAACUCCCCUGAUCAUGGUGGCAGUUGCCAAUUUUGGACUUUCAUGGAGAUGUUCUCCACCACUGGAGUCAGCAAGGAAAUGGUGAAGAGGAACUACUUCAGUCUCCAAAUUUGAUCAAACAGGGAGAUGUCCUCCACAGCUGGAUCCAAGAAGCAGUGAUUGUUGAUGAGUGGGUUCAGCUGGUGCCUAUUAAUCUUCAAACUAUUGUGUAUACUGGCACCCUUGUCUUCCACCGUGGGUGUGUGUUGGUCAACUUCAUGUGUACCUCCUGCAANAUGGUUAGUGCAAUAUGGUUCCACAGAAAUAACAUGCAGGGCUAUAACACCCAAUCCCAAUGUAACAAGCUGAACCUCAGAUAAACUCUCAGAACAUGAAUCAAUUUCAAAUGUAGAAACAAUAUCAACAACAGGCUCAGAUUCAUGUUCAGUGCAUGGAGAACAAACAUUCAUAUGUGAUAGCAAAAAGUUGUUCUCAUCAUGCAAAGAGAGAGAAUUAGAAGCAUGCUCAUCAACAAUAAAAUCAUCAACAUACCUAUCAAUAGAAUAAACAUCAACAACAGAGUCAAUCUUAGGUAUGUUUACCUCCACUUCCUUGAAGAUUGGUGAAGUAGUGCUAGGUGAAGAUGGUCUACCUAUCUCAAAAGUGGUGCUCAUAUCUACCUGUUCCUCAACAUUUUCAUCAGAUUCACAGUUAGUAUCGCCAAUCAUAAAGUUGGAAGUUGGUUGUAUCAGAAUUUAUUUCAACACAAAUAGAGCAAGAACCAACUUCACAACUACAUUUAAAAUUUUCAAAAAACUGUGAAAGAUCAAAAUUUAAUCCUAAGUCUAAAGCAUCUUUAGUUUUCACAGUUUCUCUACAAAAUCAUCACUAACAUGUGAAUCUGCAGCAGAAUCAAGACUAUUUGAAUUCAGAAAUAGCUCAGGCAAAGCAAGUGGAAUUUCAAGUUUAGAGAAAACCUGUGGUGAUUCAUGAUUCAUCUCACCAAUAACAACAGAAUGAGCAACUGCAUCCUCAAAUGCAAGAGGGGAGGCAUAGGAGGGUGGGGAAGUAGAUGGCGCAGUAGUAAGCUCAUGACUCUGCUCCCCAUCUCCUAUGUGAAUGGCACUGACAUCAUCAAGAAUCGGAACAGUCUGAAAUGGUGAUCCCUCCAGAAAUUGAGACUGUUCCUCAGUGCAUUGCGCGGCCAUCUGCCUCCACAACUCAUUCAAUGUAGGCUCAAAAGAGGUAGAAGAUUUGGCAGGUGCCUUUUGCUGUUGUUGUUGCCUCUGAUUUUUCUGUUGUGGCUACCUGUUAUUAUAGAUGUUGGUAGCAUAAGCUUGAGGCUCAUCAUGAGAAACAAGGUUCUGCAAAGAAGGGCAGGCAUUCGUAUAGUGGUCACUGGAAGGACAUAUAGCACACAACCGUGCAACAGAUGUAGAUGGAGGUGCUGGUCUCUGGUUGGAUGCCAGUUGUGUCACCAAAUUCACAAGAGAAUCAAGCUUGCUUUCCAAUUUCCUACCAGUAGUUGAUGAAGAAUGGGCAGGCUCAUGAAACUACAGCUGCUGUGGUUCCUGAACAGGUGGAGAAGGCAUACAAGAAUUCGAAAAUGGUUGAUAUUGCUGUAGAGCAUCAUGCCAUCCCAAGCUAGGGUCAUUCCAUCCAGGAUCGUUACUGUGACCAUACUGAGCAGGGAAGAAUUUAUCCAAGAACGUAUGCUUAAUAUCUUCCCAAGAAGUGAUGGAUCCUGGAGCAAGACAAUACACCCAAUCCCUUGCUGCUUCUUGUAAUGAAUCCGGAAAUGCCCUUAAAAACAUGUCUUCAUCCGGGAAAUCUGAAGGUUUCAUUAAAGAGCAUAAUGUGUAGAACUCCUCCAAAUGUCUAUGUGGGCAUUCACCUGCAAAACCAUGAAACCUAGGCAGCAAAUGUAUUAGUCCAGUGUUGACAACACAAUGAAAAUCCUCCUCAUCAAGUGGAAACGGCUACCUAGGAACACUUUCAUGAGAUGGAGGAGGAACCGUACUUUUCUCAACAUAGACAUCAGCAGAAUAUGCAUGAGAAGCAAUAUCAGAGUCAGAUGCAGGAGGAGAAUCAUAGUCAUAGGCAUAGGCAAAAGAAGCAGUACUCAAAAUCAAAAUAGGUAGACAUGUAGAAAGAAGGGGAAAAGAAGAAUGCAAUGAAAAUAUGCAACUAAAGAUACCUAAAUGCAACACACAAUGACGAACACACAAAAAAACAUCACACUCACAACACAAGACAAAACACAACACACACUAACACAACAAAAGACCUAAAACUGAACCGUUGGUCCCCGGCAACGGUGCCAAAAUUUGGAUGGGUGUCGCACCCCAUGCAAAAUUUAAUGUGCAUAAAAGAAUGCAGUAUAGACUAGGAAGUGACUCCUAGGUCGUCUCUCAAGGACCAAUUUUGCGGUUCAAUAAUUAAGUCAAACACGAAGUGGGGGGGUUGUGAAAGGUUUGUGACUACAAAUGAAUUAAAUCAAAACGCGGAUGCCAACACAAAAGCAAACACAGAUGUAAAAACAAAAUCAAAUACAGAAUAAAAACGGUUGGUCAUUAACUCAAUUAUUAUGCUUCCUAUCACAGAUAAACGAAUCACCCAACUAAGCGAAGGCUAAUUCGGUCUUCAAAUUGCAAACUAAGCGAAUGCAAUGCACAAAUCUAAUCUGUCAUGCACUAUACAGUCCAAUCAACUAAGCGAAGAUUAAACACUGAUUGGGCAACUAAGCGUAUAUCCAUUGCAAGAAUACAAUCAGAUUUCAUAGAGUGCCAGGAAAAGCAGAAUAAACAUAAAGACAGUCCAAGAAAUCU
rnacentral:lncRNA from 1 species